UGGGGAAUUUUGGACAAUGGGCGAAAGCCUGAUCCAGCAAUGCCGCGUGUGUGAAGAAGGCCUUCGGGUUGUAAAGCACUUUUGUCCGGAAAGAAAUCCUUGGCUCUAAUACAGUCGGGGGAUGACGGUACCGGAAGAAUAAGCACCGGCUAACUACGUGCCAGCAGCCGCGGUAAUACGUAGGGUGCAAGCGUUAAUCGGAAUUACUGGGCGUAAAGCGUGCGCAGGCGGUUUGCUAAGACCGAUGUGAAAUCCCCGGGCUCAACCUGGGAACUGCAUUGGUGACUGGCAGGCUAGAGUAUGGCAGAGGGGGGUAGAAUUCCACGUGUAGCAGUGAAAUGCGUAGAGAUGUGGAGGAAUACCGAUGGCGAAGGCAGCCCCCAUGGGCCAAUACUGACGCUCAUGCACGAAAGCGUGGGGAGCAAACAGGAUUAGAUACCCUGGUAGUCCACGCCCUAAACGAUGUCAACUAGUUGUUGGGGA
rnacentral:rRNA from 1 species